AGGCCUGUAGCACAAUUGGCUAGUGCACCGGACUCCAAAUCCGGGGGUUGGGGGUUCGAGCCCUCCCAGGCCUGCUA
rnacentral:tRNA from 1 species